rnacentral:rRNA from 1 species
UACGAAGGGGGCUAGCGUUGCUCGGAAUUACUGGGCGUAAAGGGCGCGUAGGCGGCACUGUUAGUCAGGCGUGAAAGUCCUGGGCUCAACCUGGGGAACUGCGCUUGAUACGGCAGAGCUAGAGGAUGGAAGAGGGUCGCGGAAUUCCCGGUGUAGAGGUGAAAUUCGUAGAUAUCGGGAGGAACACCGGUGGCGAAGGCGGGCGACCUGGUUCGAUACUGACACUG